ACAGGUUGAAAAUCACCUGCAGCUUUGCCCAUGGUCUCGGGUGAGAUUCUGCACCCAGAGCCACCAGGGACCUCAGGCCCCGACAGGC